GACGAACGCUGGCGGCGUGCCUAAUACAUGCAAGUAGGACGCACAGUUUAUACCGUAGCUUGCUCACCAUAGACUGUGAGUUGCGAACGGGUGAGUAACGCGUAGGUAACCUGCCUAUUAGAGGGGGAUAACUAUUGGAAACGAUAGCUAAUACCGCAUAACAGUAUGUAACACAUGUUAGAUGCUUGAAAGAUGCAAUUGCAUCGCUAGUAGAUGGACCUGCGUUGUAUUAGCUAGUAGGUAGGGUAAUGGCCUACCUAGGCGACGAUACAUAGCCGACCUGAGAGGGUGAUCGGCCACACUGGGACUGAGACACGGCCCAGACUCCUACGGGAGGCAGCAGUAGGGAAUCUUCGGCAAUGGGGGGAACCCUGACCGAGCAACGCCGCGUGAGUGAAGAAGGUUUUCGGAUCGUAAAGCUCUGUUGUUAAGGAAGAAACGAAGUGUGAGAAAUGGAAAAGUU
rnacentral:rRNA from 1 species